GUGCGAGACCGAUAGCGAACAAGUACCGUGAGGAAAAGAUGAAAAGAACUUUGAAAAGAGAGUUAAAGAGUACCUGAAACUGCUGAAAGGGAAGCGAAUCGUAUCCAGUGUCUAUAAUCUGCGGCAUAUUUCAUUGGCGGCGGUGCGCGUGCUUUUGCGUCGGAAGCGGCUUUUGUUGCUCUGUGCUUUUGCUGUGCGUGGUGUUGCUGGUGCCCUGUGUUGCGGUGGGACGUCAGAGUCAGUUUGUAUGCUGCGGGAAAUGGCUGCCGAGGAGGUAGGUCGAGAUUUCGGUCUUGGCUGUUAUAUCUUGGUGGUUUGUUGUCGUGGAUGAGACUGAGGUGCCUACAAUGUGCUUUUGAGUGUACCGGGUUCUCAUUUGGUGGACUGUUUGGAUAGCUUGCUAUGCUUGUGGUUUUUUCAUCGGGUGAUUGAGUCUGGUGGUAACUUGUUGCUGUUCGGGACUUUGA
rnacentral:rRNA from 2 species